GUUAUACUGGGGCGGUGACCUUCAUUAAAGUAACGAGGGUAAACAAAGUCACUACAAUAUUCGAACUGAUAAAUAGUGAUUGACUGCAAGAAACACAAUUCGAGCAGGUGUAUCUUAGAACAUCUAAAUCUAAGGAGCAGGUAGUAGCGAACGAGAUUCUUGUAAUCUAACCCAGACCCGAAGGGUAAGGAAUCUCAUCAACGGAACAAAGGUACGCUGGGG
rnacentral:rRNA from 1 species